AGCAGUCGCCGCGGUAAUACGGAGGGUGCAAGCGUUAAUCGGAAUUACUGGGCGUAAAGCGCACGCAGGCGGUCUGUCAAGUCAGAUGUGAAAUCCCCGGGCUUAACCUGGGAACUGCAUUUGAAACUGGCAGGCUAGAGUCUUGUAGAGGGGGGUAGAAUUCCAGGUGUAGCGGUGAAAUGCGUAGAGAUCUGGAGGAAUACCGGUGGCGAAGGCGGCCCCCUGGACAAAGACUGACGCUCAGGUGCGAAAGCGUGGGGAGCAAACAGGAUUAGAUACCCCUGUAGUCCCUGUCUCUUAUAC
rnacentral:rRNA from 1 species